UAAAAUUUGGAUUGUGAAUUCAUCAAAUGGGAAACAUGCACAGAAAACACAGAAUACAUAGUGGUAUUGUUAAUCAUCUUUAUAAAGCUAAACGUUGGGCAUAAUAUGGGUCUAACAUUAUGGCCUUCUAGAACAAACAGCCAGCACUCAGUGCCAUGAAAACUAUUAAAAGUAUCAACUCAUCUUCACUGUACUGCUUUCUAUUCUAUACUGAACAGAAAUAUAAACGCAACAUGCAACAAUUUUAAUGAUUUUACUGAGUUACAGGUCAUAGAAGGAAAUCAGUCAAAUACAUUCAUUGGGCCCUAAUCUAUGGAUUUCACAUUGCUGGUCAGGGGCGCAGCCAUGGGUGGGCCUGGGAAACCAUAGACCCACCUACCUGGGAGCCAGGCCAAGCCAACCAGAGGUUUUCACCACAGAAGGGCUUUAUUACAGACAGAAAUACUCCUCAGUUUCAUCAGCUGUUCAAGUGGCUCGUCUCAGACGAUCCCGCAGGUGAAGAAGUCGAAUGUGGAGGUCCUGGGCUGGUGUGGUUACACGUGGCCUACGGUUGUGAGGCCGUUUGGAAUUACUGCCAAAUUCUCUAAAACGAUGUUGGAGGCAGUUUAUGGUAGAGAAAUUAACAUCCAAUUCUCUGGCAACAGCUCUGGUGAACAUUCCUGCAGUCAGCAUGCCAAUUGCAUGCUCCCUCAAAACUUGAGACAUCUGUGGCAUUGUGUUGUGUGACUAAAUGGAACAUUUUAGAGUGGCCUUUUGUUGUCCCCAGCACAAGGUGUACCCGUGUAAUGAUCAUGCUAUAUAAUCAGCUUGUUGAUAUGCCACACCUGUCUGGUGGAUGGAUUAUCUUGGCCAAUGAGAAAUGUGUAAAUAACACGGAUGUAAAACUAUUUGUGCACAAAAUUUGAUAGAAAUAAGCUUUUUGUGCAUAUGGAAAAUAGCUGGUGUCUUUAAUUUCAUCUGAUGAAACAUGGACCAAUACUUUACAUGUUGCAUUUAUAUUUUUGUUCAGUGUACAUACACAUGCACUAUAAGGAUCUUAGGAUUUCCGUGGUGGACCAAAACUAACAGAGCACUUUGAAAAAAAGCUUUUCUUUGAUCUUUCUAUGUUGUAACAAAACGGAAGUUGUAUUAUUUGGUGUGUGUACUAUAAGGAUGUGAUGAUCAUCAUUUAGGUAGAUAUUAUGUAAAUGUUUGUCUACCUCAGCGCCAGUUCAGUCAGUGCUUGUCCUGGUGUCCAAUCAGGGUUGUUCUUCUUGCCAUGUGUGUUAAAUCCUUUUGCAUUACAGCUUUGUAACACUGUGUGUGCAAGUGUUUUCUCAGUGUGGUUUCAGACACAGCUCUCUUUACGCAUCAGUGUUCUGUGGCAUGAUGAAAAAAUAAUAAAACUAUUUCACAAUGCAGAUCUUUAUUGUGUCAAUCAGUC
ensembl:lncRNA